GACGAAGGAUCCAAGCGUUAUCCGGAUUUAUUGGGUUUAAAGGGUGCGUAGGCGGAAUAAUAAGUCAGUGGUGAAAGCCCAAAGCUUAACUUUGGAACUGCCAUUGAUACUGUUAUUCUUGAGUAUGUUUGAAGUGGGCGGAAUGUAUUGUGUAGCGGUGAAAUGCUUAGAUAUAAUACAGAACACCAAUUGCGAAGGCAGCUCACUAAACCAUAACUGACGCUGAGGCACGAAAGCAUGGGGAGCAAACAGG
rnacentral:rRNA from 1 species